rnacentral:rRNA from 1 species
AGUGAACGCUGGCGGUAGGCCUAACACAUGCAAGUCGAACGGCAGCACAGUAAGAGCUUGCUCUUACGGGUGGCGAGUGGCGGACGGGUGAGGAAUACAUCGGAAUCUACUUUUUCGUGGGGGAUAACGUAGGGAAACUUACGCUAAUACCGCAUACGACCUACGGGUGAAAGCAGGGGAUCUUCGGACCUUGCGCGAUUGAAUGAGCCGAUGUCGGAUUAGCUAGUUGGCGGGGUAAAGGCCCACCAAGGCGACGAUCCGUAGCUGGUCUGAGAGGAUGAUCAGCCACACUGGAACUGAGACACGGUCCAGACUCCUACGGGAGGCAGCAGUGGGGAAUAUUGGACAAUGGGCGCAAGCCUGAUACAGCCAUACCGCGUGGGUGAAGAAGGCCUUCGGGUUGUAAAGCCCUUUUGUUGGGAAAGAAAAGCAGCAGGUUAAUACCCCGCUGUUCUGACGGUACCCAAAGAAUAAGCACCGGCUAACUUCGU